ensembl:lncRNA
GAAGCAGGUCAGCUGAAGUUUAACACACUUGCAAGUUAUUUCAUAACAUUUCACACAAACAUCAAUCAGUUUUGUUAACAUUACUUCAGGAUGUACUGCAAGAUUUAAAACCAUUGAAUUAUAAUAGCAUAUAGCCACAACAUGCUAUAUCUCACAAAUAUCUUUGUUUGUGAGAGAUAAUCUAUUGUGACUAUAUGUUAUAUUAGUAUUAUAUAUUCAAUAACAUAUAUUAUUCAAAUAACAAACUAUAACUAGUUGUGCUUGUUAAAUGCUAAAACAAAAAGCCCAGCUGUGUUUUUGAGUACAUAUUGUGCCCUGUUUUCAAGCAACAUUGUUAUACAUCUGUUUUGUGAAGGCAUUAUAGUUUCUAUGCCAUUUCAACUGCUUAAGCAGUGCAAGACAUUAACAUACAGUGGAACGUGAUGGAAAUGACUGUGAUAAUAUCAUUACGAUAAGAUCAGUGAAGGCUGCGAUAAUACAGAUUUGCUCUAAUACUCAUUUUAAUGACAUUUUCAUUUAGUCUCUUAAUCCAUGUCCUCUGGCUGGUAGUUAAGGUCUGCGUUUGUGCAGCUCUUUUGUUGAGUGAGCAAGUAUUGCACUGUGACCUUUGCAGAUUGGGAUCUACUCUCACCGCUCGCGACGGCACGCACUUCAAGUGGUGCUUUUGAAGGCGCCAAAAUUGAUUUCUCUACAGCGAGCCGCGGCGUCUCUGACGUGAGGAAUGUUUACAGGUAUCCAUGAGGUCUUAGAGAGAGCUGCUGUGUGUUUAAUGUUUACAUGUUUACAGGUAUCCAUGAGGUCUUAGAGAGAGCUGCUGUGUGUUUAAUGUUUACAGGUAUCCAUGAGGUCUUAGAGACGGCUGCUGUGUGUUUAAUGUUUACAGGUAUCCAUGAGGUCUUAGAGAGGGCUGCUGUGUGUUUAAUGUUUACAGGUAUCCAUGAGGUCUUAGAGAGCGCUGCUGUGUGUUUAAUGUUUACAGGUAUCCAUGAGGUCUUAGAGAGGCCUGCUGGGUGUUCUCCUUUGACAAAUGAACAGUCUCUCUCGACUCCAGGGACUGCUGAGAAUAAGUAUCACGGAGUUCAUAGUACCAAUGAAGAUACGGAAACUCCCCUUGAAAACAAUGUUCUGCUCAUCUGGAUUAAGGAAUAGAUAUUGAAUUGUUUUACAUUUUGAAGAAUGUUUCCUUAUGAUUGUUUCCUGUGCUGAUAUGAUUCAGCGGAUGGAAAUCUUUGAUCUCACCCCAUGAUGCAGUAUCAUUCAGUCUUUCAGAUUAUCAUUAUCAGUGUGAGAAUAAACAUAGAUUAAUUCAUUAAUUCCUCAUUUUCUUUAUUAAUAGAGGACCAAUCUUCCUCUUUAGAGCUGGAAGAGGCAUAAACUGAAUCAGCAAAAAUGAAUGAAUGAAAGUGCAGUAGUAUGGUAUAGGGUCUGGAAUAUCUGUGUGUGCAGACAAUGUAGUUUUAAAAGGUUGUUAAAAAGUUUCAAUUCCUGUGUUUUGUUGAGACAAGCUGAAAUACAAACCUCAAAGGUUUCAUUGGUUUUCACGUUGUGGCUCAGCAACACUUGAGUUAUAAGUAAGGAACACAAAAAAAAUGUGUCUUCCAAAGCAGCUGCACUCUUUCUAAAAUACAGUAGUAUUCUCACGCAUUUGGGAAACGUUCUGAAGAGAAUUGUUCUGUUUUGACUAAGUCAAUCCAUCAAGACUUGCUAAUUUGUUUUGACAAUGUUAUAUAAUGUGGCAGACCGACCGUGCUUCUCUUCCUGUUUUUGGAAGGCAGCUGUUCCACUUUGCAUUUACAAUUUUUUUUCUUAAACCUGACAACAUGCUCAGCUGUAAAGAUGGAGUAAAAAUAGUGUAUAGUAUCCGUAACCAUGUGGGAGAACACGACCUCUUUUAGAAGGUGCAGCUCUGCAGGCCUGCAUUCCCACACAAUGAAGCAUCUCCUCAAAAGCUAGCAACACAUUACUUUCACAACUAAGCCUGAGCUGGAAGGAAGCAACUAGAUGCAAAGGGAAAAAAAGAAACUGACACAGAAAAAAAAGAG